CUUUACUGUAGCCUGGAAUUGGGUUCGGGCUUCGCUUGCGCAGGAUAGGUGGGAGGCUGUGAGACUGCCCUUGUGGGGGCAGUGGAGCCAACGGUGAGAUACCACUCUGGCGAAGCUAGAACUCUAACCGGUAGCCGUGAAUCCGGCACUGGAACCGUUUCAGGUGGGCAGUUUGACUGGGGCGGUCGCCUCCUAAAUUGUAACGGAGGCGCGCAAAGGUUCCCUCAGCACGGUUGGAAAUCGUGCAUAGAGUGUAAAGGCAAUAAGGGAGCUUGACUGCAAGAGCAACAACUCAAGCAGGGACGAAAGUCGGCCUUAGUGAUCCGACGGCACUGCGUGGAAAGGCCGUCACUCAACGGAUAAAAGUUA
rnacentral:rRNA from 1 species